rnacentral:rRNA from 1 species
CCUACGGGAGGCAGCAGUGAGGAAUAUUGGUCAAUGGACGAGAGUCUGAACCAGCCAAGUAGCGUGAAGGAUGACUGCCCUAUGGGUUGUAAACUUCUUUUAUAUGGGAAUAAAAUGUUCCACGUGUGGGAUUUUGUAUGUACCAUAUGAAUAAGGAUCGGCUAACUCCGUGCCAGCAGCCGCGGUAAUACGGAGGAUCCGAGCGUUAUCCGGAUUUAUUGGGUUUAAAGGGAGCGUAGGUGGAUUGUUAAGUCAGUUGUGAAAGUUUGCGGCUCAACCGUAAAAUUGCAGUUGAAACUGGCAGUCUUGAGUACAGUAGAGGUGGGCGGAAUUCGUGGUGUAGCGGUGAAAUGCUUAGAUAUCACGAAGAACUGCGAUUGCGAAGGCAGUUCACUGGACUGCAACUGACACUGAGGCUCGAAAGUGUGGGUAUCAAACAGGAUUAGAUACCCAUGUAGUC